AAAGUCAGAGGUUCGAAGACGAUCAGAUACCGUCGUAGUUCUGACCAUAAACGAUGCCAACUAGCGAUCCGCCGGAGUUGCUUCAAUGACUCGGCGGGCAGCUUCCGGGAAACCAAAGUUUUUGGGUUCCGGGGGAAGUAUGGUUGCAAAGCUGAAACUUAAAGGAAUUGCCGGAAGGGCACCACCAGGAGUGGAGCCUGUGCUUAAUUUGACUCAACACGGGAAAACUCACCCGGCCCGGACACUGUAAGGAUUGACAGAUUGAGAGCUCUUUCUUGAUU
rnacentral:rRNA from 1 species